rnacentral:sRNA from 1 species
GGGAUGUCGGCGUUUGGGGGACGGCAGCACACCGCCGCCCCCGAAAUGAAGUGGCGGCCCGUCCGCGGCGACCGCUAGCGCCACUAAACCAACUCGCACCGGAACCCCGACGCCGGCCACGCCGUAAUUCUCCCAUCCUCUUGUCGUUGGCCUCGGAUCAGGUAAGACUUCCGGGUGAACUUAAGCAUAU